ACGUGGUUAUAACAAACAAACAAAAAACAAUUCCUCUGGAUUAUACAAGACUAUUCUAGUAUUCUCCAAUAGAGCUAGAUCUAUGUCCAAUCCCGGCUUGGAAUAAACCACAGAAAGGAUAACCGAUUGUUCGGUUUUCAUGCUCGCCAUAUGCUUUCUAAUGUAACCUGUCCCGAUCGAAGAUUGAACACUAAUUCUCAAUGUUACGAUGCUUCACCUGUUAUUGGUAAACUCUCCGCUUAGGUUUCUUCUUAAUUAGUCCCUUUUUUUCUCGACUCAAAACAGAUAGAGUCGACUUUAGUUAGGAAAAUGUUCGACUGAUUGUGAGAUUCGGUUAAAUAUAAAGGAAUAUUGUUACUUUCCCUGUUCAAGAGGAAUAUCGUUUUCUAAAACCUCAUGAAUAAUACUUGGUAACAUUAGCGAUUCAUGAGAAAGUGUCAUGUUUUAUUUGAUUAGCGAUUCAUGAGAAAGUGUCAUGUUUUAUUUGAUUAUACAGAAACAAAGUUUACAAGUUAUUUCUCUCAGAAGUUGAUGAUCCCCUUGUUGAAUACUUUAUUGCCUUCAAAAAGACACAGUUACUUUUCUAAAGAUCAGUUCUUCGUCUGUUAUGUCAAAUAGCCAGAAUUCGGAGUGUACAACUUACAAGGAUUUCUAGCUAUGAAUCCAAUCCACAAAAUACAAGUUAUUCAAUUUUUUCCAAGUUUUAAUAACAAUCAAGCUUCUAUAAGACAAUCAUAAAUAGAUAAAAUAAGCAAUUCAGCAUUAAUAUGCAACUCAGUAAUUUGCGAUUGGUUUAUGAAUAGAACUUAUAAAAUUUGUUAAAAUAAGAGUUGCAGGUUUUGAGAAAAGAAUCUCUGAUGCAUUAGAAAGAAAUCGAAAUGGCCUUUAAAUAGCCUUACAACAACUGAAAUGAGAAAACUAAGGAAACAGAUUUGAACGUGGCUUAGUUCCUACGAUUACGCCUUAUUGAUUGACUCAACAUCACUAACUAAUAGUGACUUAGUCUUUGAUGACUUAUUCAACUCCAACAAAACCCUCCCUUAAACUGAACAUGUUGGAUCAACAUUCAGUUUAAACUCCUUGUGCUUGCAUUCCCAGAAGACUUCGCAGUUUAACAAAGGUCUCGAGCUUCACCGGCUUUGUCAUAACAUCUGCAACUUGUUCUCCCGUUCCAACGAACACUAGCUUCACCACUUCUUGAUUUGUAAGAUCACGCAAAUAGUGAUAUUUCACGUCGAUGUGCUUGGUGCGCCUAUGCAUCACCGGAUUCUUUGACAGCUUAAUUGAUGAAGUGUUAUCACAAUAAAUCUCCAUACACUUACACUCUUCGCUGAAGUUCUGCUCCAAGACUCCUUUAAACCAAACGCAAUGACACGCACAUGAAGUUGCAGCAACAUACUCCGCUUCAGUAGACGAUAAAGUCACCACCUCUUGUUUCCUUGAACUCCAACAUACUGCAGCUCCAUUUAGUAAAAACACAUAACCAGAAGUGCUUCUCCGAUCAUCAGUGUCUCCGGCAUAGUCGCUGUCUGUGUAUGCCUCCACUUUCAGCUCAGAACCUGCCUUAUAAAAAAUACCAAGCUCCAAAGUACCUUUCAGAUAUCUCAAAGCCCUCUUUGCCGCCAACAUAUGUUCUUCCCUUGGUUUUGACAUGUAACGAGAGAUCAAACAUACAACAUACAUCAUGUCAGGCCUUGUCACUGUAAGAUACAUUAGGCACCCAACAAUCUGUUUGUAAAGAGUGGCAUCUACUUCUUCUCCUCCGCCUUCUUUUGUGAGUUUAGCUCCGGGAACAAUCGGAUUUUUGACCGGAUUACAAUCCGCCAUUUUAAACCUUUCUAACACUUCUUGAGCAUACUUCUUCUGGCAUAAAUGAAUUCCAGCGUGACUUUGACGAACUUCCACACCAAGAAAGAACCUCAUUAAGCCGAGAUCAGUCAUCUCAAACUCUUGCUUCAUUGACUUUUUGAACUCUUCAAGCAACACUUCAUCAUUCCCAGCAAAAAUUAAAUCAUCAACAUAGAUACUUACCAUGAUAUACUUUUCACCUUCUCUUUUGAUGAAUAAGGUAUGAUCAUGGCUGCUUCUGUUGAAUCCUGCUUGCUUGAAGUACCCCUCAAUCCGACUAAACCAGGCUCUAGGAGCUUGUUUUAACCCGUAUAGCGCCUUUUUUAACCGAUACACCUUGUCUUCCUCACCUUUUUUGACAAAUCCUUCUGGCUGGUCCACAUACACCACUUCCUUCAAUUCUCCAUAAAGAAAAGCACUUUUUACGUCUAAUUGGUACACCUUCCAUCCUCUUUGCGCAGACACAGCCAAAAGAAUUCGAAUUGUAUCCCAACGAGCUACCGGAGCAAAGACUUCAUCAUAGUCAAUGCCUUCUUCUUGAGCAUAACCUUUCACGACCAAACGCGCCUUAUAUUUAUCGACUUUUCCAUCCUCAUUCAGCUUGGUUUUGAAAACCCAUUUGACUCCAAUCCUUUUGGCCUCAGCCGGUAAUCUUACAAGAUCCCAAGUAUCAUUCUUCUCAAUGGACUGAAUUUCGCUUCUCAUUGCCUCCAUCCACUUCUCUUCUUUACUUGCUUCUGUAAACUGGACUGGAUCACCAUGAGAUAAAAACAGAGCCAUCGCCAACUCUGCUUCAGCCUCUCCAUCCGAGAUCCUCUCCCCACUUUCAUAGUCUUGCAUCCAAAUAGGUGCCCUUCUCUCUCGUUGCUCACGUAUCUCUGGCUGCGGAGAAUUGAGAUUUUCAACAUUGAGAUGCUCCUCGAUUUCACCCUCUUCUUCGAUCUCUUCUGCGCCAUCUUCUCUGUUUUGAUCUUCUUCUUCUCCCCAAUCUAAGACAUCACUGAGACCUUUCUCAUCUGCGCUCCAAUCCCACUUCUCCUCCUCUUCAAAAAUCACAUCUCGGCUAGUGACUACUGUUUUGGAGAUUGGAUCAUAGAGUCGAUAUGCUUUCGAUUCCUCACUUACACCAAGAAGAAUGCAUUUUCGGCUUCUGCUAUCAAGUUUUAUUCUUCGCUGCUCUGGUACGUGUGCGUGGCCGAUGCAACCGAACACUCUGAAAUAAUUCACGCUCGGUUUUAUCCCACUCCAGCAUUCUUCAGGCACCAUGUCUUUCACCGCACUUGUCACACUUCUGUUCAACACAUGACAUGUCCACUUUGCAGCCUCAGGCCAAAAACGCUUUGGCAUACUCUUCUCCGUAAGCAAGCAUCGGACCAUAUUCAUUAUUGUGCGAUUUCUUCUUUCGGCGACACCAUUUUGUUGUGGCGUGUAGGCUGCGGUUAACUGUCUCUUAAUCCCAUUUUCUUCACAAAACUGAUUGAACACAUUUGAGGUGAACUCUCCUCCCCUAUCAGUCCUCAAACAACCAAUUUCUGUUCCUGAUUCUUUCUCCACAAGAGCUUUAAAAAUCUUGAAAGUAUCAAACGCCUCAUUUUUUUCAGAGAGAAGGUAGAUCCAACUUUUGCGGCUAAAGUCAUCAAUCAAAAGGAAGAUGUACCUUUUUCCACUGUGAGAGGUUGGAGAAAUAGGGCCGCAUAAGUCUGCAUGAAUGAGCUUUAGCUUCUCCGCAGCUCUCCAUUGGCUCUUCUUUGGUAUAGUUUCUCGGUGUUGCUUUCCGAUGUUACAGACUUCGCAAACCUUAGGGAUUUCUUUCAUUGGAGGUAGACCAUUUACCAGUUUCUUGUCAUGCAUACUCUGGAUAGAUGUGUUAUUGAGAUGUCCGUAACGCUUGUGCCAGAGGGUCGCCACUUCAUCUUCUUCGAUUUUCAGACAUUGAUUGGGAUCGGUUUUCAUAAUAGCUGACACAAUGAACAUGCGAUUUGCAGUCAUUUUUGUGCUCACAAUCAAACCUCUGCGAGGAUGAUAGAUCUUACACACUCCUUUGCUAAUCAGAACAUCCACACCCUUUUCUUGUAAUUGCCCAACACUCAACAGAUUAUUAGUCAGGUUUGGAACAAAGAACACGUCACUUACAAUUUGAGUCACUCCGUCAACCUCAAAUUUGACGUCUCCUUUUCCCACAACCUCCAUUCUUGAACUGUUGCCCAAUCUCACCGCAUGCCUGAAACUAUCAUCGAUCUCCAUGAACCAUUCUUUAUUUCCCGUCAUGUGAUUGGAACAUCCCGAAUCCAGAAACCACAGACCACUUUUCUUCGUUUCUUGAGUCUCUGUUUGCGCCAUUAGAAGCAAUGCCUCUCCUUCAUCGAACUCAGCAUAGUUUGCUUCCUUUUCAGCGGUUGGACACUCGUAUUGAAAAUGUCCCAGUUUGUGACAUCUAAAACAUUCAAUGGUAGCUUUGUCGAAACUUGGUCUGGUUCCUCCUCUUCCUCUUGACACGUUGCUACCUCCUCUUCUACCAUUGUAGCCCCUACCUCUUCCUCGUCCAGAGUUGUCGUACUCAACUUUUAGUACUUGCUCUUCGACUCCCCUACGUCGUAUCUUCUGUUCGUGAACAAGCAGUGAGCUGUGUAGCCCGUCGACAGUCAUCUGGUCAAUGUCCUUUGAUUCUUCUAUAGAGCACACGACAUAGUUAAAAUUCUCCGUUAGUGUUCGAAGAAUUUUUUCAACGAUCUUCACAUCUUCCAUGUUUUCUCCGCAGUUCCGCAUAUCGUUUGAUGUCACCAUGACUCUCCCGAAAUAAUCUGUCACUGUUUCUCCCACCUUCAUCUCUAAGGUUUCGAAAACUCUACGAAGUCUCUGUAGCUGCGCACGUUUCACCCUUUCAUUGCCUUGAUACUUGAUUUUCAUGGAAUCCCAUAAAAGCUUAGCGGUCUCCUUUUGAGUGAUGGUCUUCAAGAUCGACUUGUCAAUGGACUGGAAGAGAUAGUUCUUUGCCUUCAAGUCCUUUAGCCUUGCUUCAUCUAACACCUUCUGUUGUGCUGCGGACAGCACUUCUCCUUCUCCGGGUUCCUUAAAACCAGGUUGAAUCACACACCAAUACUCCUUUGAACGCAACAGGUUCUCCAUUAGUAAACUCCAAUGGUCGUAAUCUCCAUCGAAUUUUGGCACACACGGGGCAUUGAAGUUACUUGAUUCAGCUGCCAUCUCUCACACCGAUUUCUUUUCUCACACUCACUCAAAAUACACACUCGUUUCUCACUCCGUCAGAUCCCUUUUGAGAGGGCUCUGAUACCACAAUGUUAAAAUAAGAGUUGCAGGUUUUGAGAAAAGAAUCUCUGAUGCAUUAGAAAGAAAUCGAAAUGGCCUUUAAAUAGCCUUACAACAACUGAAAUGAGAAAACUAAGGAAACAGAUUUGAACGUGGCUUAGUUCCUACGAUUACGCCUUAUUGAUUGACUCAACAUCACUAACUAAUAGUGACUUAGUCUUUGAUGACUUAUUCAACUCCAACAAAAUUAUUGACUCAAAGAAUUUCAUGAUAAGAAAAGGCACUCAGAAUGAGUAGGAGGUAUAUAUUCAUCAUAAAAUCAGAUGACAAUAAAACAAUCCUCAUCAUGCCUUAAUCUUUAAUUUUCCAAAAUCACAAAUCAAAUAACUUUGAAAAACAUUUACCAGAAAAAUCUGAUAAGAUUGAACACAAUAAAAGGAUUCCUCUCAGACAAAUGCCUCGUUUGUCCCCAUGAUUUAAUGAAUGGAUUUCAUCGGACUCGUCAUCUGUGUAUUCAUCACUGAGAAACCCUUUUCUUCAAAAUUCGUUAAUCUAAGAUCAAGCAUAAAAAAAAAAAACAGAACAAAUCCUAGACUAAUUAUAUCAAAUCGAAAACAGAUUGAAAAAUAAACAAAACUUCAAAAAGAAUUAAGAGAGCCAAAGAUUAACAUUUGGGUUGAACUCGGAGAUCGGAGAGGACUAAUGAUUAUAAACGGCGGAGAGAGGAGUAUUUAUAAGGAGCCAAACUAGGGUUAGGGUUUUAAGCCGCCCCCCUUACUUUUAGACGACAUGAAGUUUAGUUAUCAAUUUUUGAAACAGCGUGUAGUCUUCUUCCUAUUUUGAAACGCCACCCAUUGCGAAUGUGAAUACCCGAAAAGGAAGUCACGAGUAAAUUUUUUACACUAAACAAACAACAUGAAGGCUAAUUUUAUUUUUGGGAAAAUUCCCAAAAAAAACCCAAAGUAAUUUUUAUUUGGACGUUUAAUACCCAAUUGUUUUGGAUUGGAAUAAAAAUACCUCAUUUAAUAAAACCUAGUCUAAAAAUUCCUUAUGUUUGACUUGUUGGUGGAUUCAAACGCGUGAUUUAACAUCCGUUAACAGUCGUUACGGAAUCCAUAAAUACCGUCAAAGUUCAACCCCGCGUGUUUAAACAGAUAUAUACAAUCUCUUUAUAUGUUACCACAAAUAUUUUCGCCUAGUCUGGUGGUGAUUAGCCCUUUAUGUUAUCCUUAGCGUCCGGGUUCGAUUCCCCCUCUCCCAACUUUUUUUUUUUUUUUUUUUCCCGGCUUCUCGCCUUCUUCUUCCGCUAAACAUUGCAACGCAAAUCUAGGGUUUUUUUUUUUUUUUUACUUUGUGAAUUCUAGAUCUAUGUGUUCUGUAAUUAGAUCGUUGUUUCCUUAUCAUCAAUCCUUUGUUAUGUGCUCUAAUUUUGGAGAAAAAGUUUGAAACUUUCAUGUACAUAUGGCCACUAGAGAAAGCAAAUUGGAGAAAGUUAAGAGAAUAAUCGAGCAAGUCGACGUGAAUCGCGAUGGUGGGUUUAAGUGAGAAGAGAUGGCGACGGACUGCGACGGAGAUUUGGGUUAAAUGUGGAGGAAGGAGAAAUCGUGGAUGAGAACAAAAAAAAAAAUCAAUGGUGGGUAAUGAGGAGGAUCGAACCCGAGUUCAAUGGGUGACAUAACACACCAGUAACCACAAGACUAAAGUAAUAUAAUCGUAAGCUUAGUACACAGACAUAUAUAUAUUUAUAAACAUAGGGAUUGAAAAAUUUAACACCGGUUAUUGAUUCCGUAACGGCUGUUAACGGACGUUAAAUCACGGGUUUGAAUCCACCAACAAGUCAAACAUAAGGAAUUUUUAGACUAAAUUUUAUUAAAUGAGGUAUUUUUAUUCCAAUCCAAAACAAUUGGGUAUUAAACGUCCAAAUAAAAAUUACUUUGGGUUUUUUUGGGGAAUUUUCCCUUUUAUUUUUACAAAUUAAUACUUAUAUUUUUUUAUAUAUUUUUUUCAAUCACUUAAGAAAGGGAACGAUCAAAUUCAUUUUAAAUAACUGUGUUCUAAUUUUUAGGUUAAGGUAAUUGAAAAAGUGGCAUGAGUCUUACUUAGUAAAACCCUAAACCCUAUUUACAUAUUCAUCGGCGAGUUUAACUGUUAAUGUCGUCUCCAUUGACAUCUCCGACCUCCACGAACAACGAAUAGCCAUUUGUAAUCCUACAGUUGUCGUCACUUUCUGAUGAUAUCUUAGUGAGCUGCUUUGCCCGCGUUUUGAGAUUGUACUAUCCGACUUUCUCCUGAGUUUCCAAAAACUUUCGAUCACUCAUUACUUCACCGGAACUUUACUAGAAUCAGUCACUCUUAGGUCAUACAGAGACUUGUCUCUAUGUCUUCGUUAGAAAUUAAUAAUUAAAUAUGUAAUUAAAUUCGUCGAAAAUGGUGGUUGGAAAAUGAGAUGUUUUCUUGUAGUAAACACAUCAAGGAAGCAAGUGUGACAUCGUGUUCCCAGCCGACUCUCCGUAUUUUCGCAUUUUAACAAAGAAUUUCCUUUACGAAGCUUGAUCCUAUAAACCAUUUAUUAUUACACAAGAGAAGUAUUUCUACCCUUGGUCUAAUUCCAAUCAACCAUUGUACUGGUUUAAUCGUCUUUGUCCCUUAUACUUUAGAUCGAUCAUUCACUCAGUCAAAUUAUGCAAAUUGUUCGCUUAACCAAUAUAAGUCUAACGAUUACAUAUUUUUUAUCCUUGUCCAAUGGUCAAUUCCCAACGUCUAGCUUAACUAAUAACUUAGAUUCUUUUACAUAGACCUGCGAGAAAUGACCGGGCCGAGAACUCCGAACCGUUCUGAACCGAGAUUUUUGGUUUCGGUUUAGUUUCGGUUAGGAGAGCUGAACCAAUCGGAAGCUUUGUAAAUUUUGUUGGGUUAACCGACAUUUUCGGUUCAGUUCUCAUAACCGAGAUCUUCUUCUUCUUCCUCUUCUUUUGUCAGAUCUGCUAUUCGUAUCAACCACCGUCAAGCUUCAUCUGAUUUUGUAUCGGCCGCCGUCAAGCUUCGUCUGUUUUAGGUCUUCGUCAAGCUUCAUUUGUUUUUUUCUAAACUUUACUGGGCUUUGUCCAGGCCAAACAUUCUUCUUUUUCGCAAGCCCAUUUAUCGAAACAAAACCAAAUUAACCAAUUUUAACCAAGGAAAUCCAAAAUUUUGGUUAUUUUCGGUAGGAUUUGAUUAACCGAAAAAACUGAGAUUCAAACCGAUUAUUUAUUCGGUUAAUUUCAGCAUGUACAUUUCAAUAACCAAAAUAAACCGUAAACCAAAAUUAACCGGCCCGGUUUGGUUCGGUUAACCAAAUCUGCAGGCCUUGGUUUACAUACCUUGGCCAACAUGCGAAUUUGUUUCUUCUUCGAUCCGUCUAUUGAUCCUCUUUGUUAAUCCAUUUGUUGCUUUAUUAAUUCGUACAUCGAUUCGCAUCCGAUCAUAUAUUGAUGGACCAAUCUUUAUCGUUACUUAGUCAUACAACCAACCAACCCCAUUGGCUAAGUACCAUGAUAUAGAUUGGGGAUCGAACGUCUUCCUUGAUUCACGGUGUCCGAAUCAAGCUCUUGACUCAUUGGUCCAUCCGUCCUCCAAACGUACACAUGUAAAUGCAUGUAAGCAAGUUAAGCAAAAGAAACAAAAAAGAUAGCAAGUGAACAAGUUAAUGAUGUAAGUAAAGAAUCAAGCAAUGAAUCAAGGAAGCAAAUAUGCAUGAAUGUAAGAAUCUAAGCAUACAUGUAUACAAUGUGUUGGGAGAUUCAAGAAAUCAACCUAGAUCGUGCUAUUCAAGGAACCAUAUAUAUAUUCUCUUCGUUUCCGUAUGUAGUGUAAACUCUGAUUUUUCUGGUACGUACCUGCUCACUCACUAUAGAUAUUUGAAAAGUCUAUUAGUUAUGAAUUAUGAUAAUAUAUAAGAACAGAAGAGGCAAUAACUUCAAGUUAUAAGAGAUAAAUCGACAUACUAAACCGAAAAAAGGAUUGAAGACAUACCUGGGAAAAUAAUUAAACUUAUAAAACUAGAAGAUAACUUACAGUUCUUUUGAAUCGCUCCUGUUCUUGGCAGCUCUCUGUAACUACAUGUCUUGUUUUCACGGAUUAAACGGAAAAGAGGACACACCAGUACCGACAUUAGGAAAAUUGAAUAAACGAAUCACUAAUAUGUAGUAAUAGAGGAAUUUUAACUUACAAGUGGGAUGCAAAGGCUUAGCGCGACUCAUGGCCAGCUUGUUGAUCGUAUAAUUUAGAGAUGCAAGUUCUUCAAACGAUUCUUGCUUUGGCACUGCUUAUAGGUUCAAGAAAAUAAAUGUACAAACUUAUAAAAUUCUGUUUAGUUUACCUCGAUUUCUCUCACUAAUUAGUGGGUCAAGAAGAGUUUAAACAAUAGUACCUUAUUUGAUGACAACUCUCUUCUCUUGUUAUAUUUUUGCAAGCUUAUUAUUCCCUGUGGAAACACACAUAUAUAUUAACUAAAAUCCCGACGCGAAAUGUCAACGAUCGGAACAAGAGCAUUAAAUUUACCUGAAAGCAAAGGACAUUAACAUGUUCAAGUCCAUGUGCAACCUACAAGACUAGAAACAAGUUAUACCAAGAUUGUCGUGACCAUCAAUAUACUUCUGCGACUCUAGUGGAAAAAUAUACCUGAAACUGCAUAUGUUCCGAUCAUGAACUUAAUGAAAAUUCUCUUCUCUUGUACUAAUUUUCAAGCAUCUUCCCUGUUGAAAUGCACAUUUAUUUUGAAUGACCAGAUCAUAGUAGAAACAAGAUUAAAUUUAGAUACCUUGAUGCAUUCAUGUUCCUCAUACUAAAACCACGUCCUUCUCUGCUGCUAAAUGUUGUAUUGAUCCCCAAUACCUUGAAAACUUAUUAAGGAAAUCCAAUAGAAACAACAGAAGUUCAUCACCAUAUUUAUCACCAAGAUUUUUGACUUAGUGCAGGAGAAACAAAGAUAAAUUUCUAAGAAAGAUCAAGUUGCAACCUGGAGUUGAAAAUUGUCCCAAGGAAAAUAGAUGGAAGGAAGCAGGGCCCAUUUCUUCUCUUGGAGACCUUGUCUUUCACAGUGCGAGGGUGAAAGAAAUGGGGAUAACUGGACCUUUCAAAAUCAUAUUUCACAGUCAAACAAAACAAAACAAAAAUUCUCACUUUUGCAGUUAAGGAAAAAACAAUUGUGUGAAAAAUGGUAUUUUGAAGGGAAUUUUGAUGGCAAACACUUAAAAAGCAUGAUUAGUCUUACUUUCCAGCUUAACCACGUAAGUAACAUUUCCAAUUAUCAAACGGAAUAGAAUGGUGCUAGUGAAGUCACAAGGGCAAGGGCUCCUUUCUUCUUCCUUCCAAAAUUUUAUCACAAACUUUAAUUUCUUUCACACUGAAACAGUGUGAGUAAUACUAACAACCACAAUUGAGUCAAAUAACUGGUCACAUUAGGGGUUUAUUGGCUUAUAUAGUUGCUCAUAUCGCAUAUAGAGCCUCUCCUUGUUCUCCUCAAACUUGGAAAUAGUGUCUGCCAAGCAGAAACACAUGUUCAUUAGUUUUAGUAAUAUCCCACCAAAGUCCAAACACACUACUGAUAUUAAGAGUGAGAGAUGACUAAACUAAAGGAAAACUGAAAGUUUUACCUUUUAAACAUUGUAGAUGAAGCUCCUCAAACUUGGCAGCUUCAUAUUUGCAGUAGUACCUAAUUUGAUGACAUCUCUCUUCUCUUGUUCUAUUUUUGCAAGCUUAUUUCCUGUGGAAAACACACAUAUAUUAACUAAACUUCAGACGCUAAAUGUCAACGAUCGGAUUAGAUUCGGAACAAGAACAUUAAAUUUACCUGAAAGCAAAAGACAUUAAUAUGUUCAAGUCCAUGUGCAACCUACAAGACUAGAAACAAGUUUUACCAAGAUUGUCGUGACCAUCAAUCUACUUCUGAGACUGUAGUGGAAAAAUAUACCUGAAACUGCAUAUGUUCCGAUCAUGAACUUAAUGAAAAUUCUCUUCUCUUGUACUAAUUCCCUGUUGAAAUGCACAUUUAUUAACUAAAUCCGAGAUACAAAAAUAUGAAUGACCAGAUCAUAGUAGAAACAAGAUUAUUAAAUUUAGAUACCUUGAUGCAUUCAUGUUCCCCAUACUAAAACCACAUCGUUCUCUGCUGCUAAAUGUUGUAUUGAUCCCCACUACCUUGAAAACUUAUUAAGGAAAUCCAAUAGAAACAACAGAAGUUCCCCACCAUAUUUAGCACAGAGAUUUUUUACUUACUGCAGGAGAAACAAAUAUAAACUAUAAGAAAUAUCAAGUUGCAACCUGAAAUUUGUUCCAAGGAAAAUAGAUGCCAGGAGGCAGAACCCAUAUUCUUCUCUUGGAGAUAACUGGACCUUCCAAAAUCUUAUAUCACAAUCAAACAAAACAAAAAUGAAAAUCAAGUAAAUUCUCAUUUUUGCAGUUUUAAGGAAAACAAAUUCUUUGUGUGAAAAAUGAUAUUUUGAAGGGAAUUUUGAUGGCAGCCACUAAUAAAGCAUGAUCAGUCUUACUUACCAGUUUAACCACCCCAUAAGUAACAUGUCCAAUUAUCAGAAGGAAUAGAUUGGUGCUAGUGCAGUCACAAGGGCUCUAACAAAACAAGACUGCAGCCAAAAUCAGCUCCUUUCUUCUUCCUUGCAAAAUUUAAUAAAUCACAAACUUUAAUUUAUUUCACUGAAACAGUGCUAAGUAUUUCUGUCUACCAGGUGAAGAAAGUAAGAAACAAAACCAACCUAUAAUGUGAGCAAUGCUAACAACCACAAUUGAGCCAUAUAAUGCUCUGUAAACUGAGCCACUGGUCUGCAGAAAAUUUAACACUAUUUUUGUUAGCAAUUUGUCUUCACUUUGAAACGAAAUUUAUGCAAUGACCAGCAAGCUGAAUAAGCAUGUAAGAUACUUUGGAGACAUACAACUAGACAACCAUUCAUAAAGGACAAGAUGUUCAUGAAAUUCCAAGUAAUGAAAGCGACUGAAGAAAGGGAAAAGCUAGUAAGAUAGCAAAGUCAUAGGCUUUUAAAAGAAUGUAGACAAGUGAUAAUUGUUGGACUACAUAGUUUCGAACUAACUUAAAAAAACGCCUAGCUGAUCAACGUAAGAUGUUUCUUUACCUUUAGAGUCAAAUGAAGCGAAGUUAAUCUUUCACUCAUCCAGAAAAUAGCCAAGAGUUUUCCUCAAUAUGCUGAAAUUUUUGGCAUUCUACACCCCGAGAUUUCACAUUCUGUCAUAUAACAAAAAAUAGAGGAUAGGUGUAUAUCUGUGAGGCUAUUAUUUACCCGCUUCUUUUUUCUUCAGCGUUAUUCCAAUUGAGCAAGAUGUUGUGUACAGAAGCUCUCUUGUUUGGAUAUCAUUGUGUUUUCCUUUUCCCUACAUGUUAUUUUACAAGGGGAAGUGCGUACGUGUGCCAUCUCAUUAACAGUGGUCUCAUAAGGGGUUUGUUGGCUUACUUAGUUUCUCAUAUCGCAUAUAGACCUCACCAUGUCCUCCUCAAACUUUAAAUUGGUGUCUGCCAAGCAGAAACACAUGUUCAUUAGUUUUAGUAGUAUAACACUUAGCUAAUGAAAGAAAACUUUAAUAAAUACCAAACACACUACUGAUCUUAAGAGUGAGAGAACACUAAACCAAAGGGAAACAUAAAUUUACCUUUUAAACCUUGUAGAUAGCUUUGUCUUUCAUGAAUUUGUGAUGAGGCUCCUCAAACAUGGUAUCUCAAGGUAUUCUCACACUGCAAAUAUUGAUCCCGUCAGCUCCUUGAACCUUUCUGAAGACUAAAAAGUUAACUAUCAUCAUAGGAUCUUUUGUUCAGACCUCCUUUGAACUUAUGAAAAUACUUGGGCCAAUUUUUGUCUGCAGUUUAUAAGUCAAGGACAAGAUUAAUCAGCACGGUUGACUUUCCCUAAGUGUACACAGUGCCAGAAAGAUAUACAGGAUUUUAAGAUUCAGCUAUCAAACUAACUAAACUUACAGAGAACCAUGGAGUUUAUUUAAUCUUCUUCUGGAACAAAAGCAGGAAUAUGGUCACAAUCGUUGGAUGAUUUUCUGUUCUGGAACAAAAAAAUGACAAAAUUAUCUGUCUAGUUACCAAAAUUAAUGAUAGAAAUCAACUGAGUGAUUCAGAGGAACAAAAGGCAGAAUAUCUAUAUCAAACGAGUUCCAUAUCUAGAAUACCUUUGUCUAGGUCGGUUGGUCUGACUUUAUAUUAAUCCAAGCAGAGUUAAAAUAUUUAUACCUUAUCUGAUUUGGAAUAGAAACUAUGACGUCGCAUCAAACUGUUGAACUUUGAAGGAAAAACACGGUAUUCAAACCUUGUGCCAGAGAUUCCAUGAGGCAGUUUAGAAGAAUGUUGCAAGUAAACCUUGUGUCAGGGUCUCACUCAAACCCUGACAAUUAAAACCAACAAAUAAAAUAUUAGAGAGAAUAAUGAUCAUAGAACUUGACCAGCGACAUUUAUUCCACAUAUGUCUUUCCAGUGAGUUAUUUGAUAACAGUUAUUCCACAUACACUAAAGAGAUAUUUUUUGUGGUAGCGACAUUAAUGACCACAAGGAAUUUUUCUUGACAGACGCUCAAUGAACUAUGUAAGCAAAAUGAACUAUGUAAGCAAAACACCUCUGUGACCUCCGUCACCGCCUCCAUAACAACCUUCCUCUCAGCGUCCACCACCACCGCCGCAUCCAAAUGAAUAGCCUCCGUUGUAUGCCUUUCGUAUCAACCAACGUAUACACCACCGCUUCAUCGUUCACGGUGAUGCUACUAAGGCCAUCGAGCAUUUUCCCAUCCAUCUAUUCAUUAACAUCCCUCACUGAUUUCUCAUCUUUGAAAAUCACGAAUCCUAGUCCCUUAAAAUUUCCCAGUCUCGCGUUCGUUAAUGAUCUGUCAAAUCAAACAAAUCGCAAAUCAGAAAAAACCAUCGGAGAAGAUAUUGAAAGCAAUAAGAUCACAAAAUCACUCCACCCAGACUCAUAAAAUUCAAGAAGAUUAACGAACCAAAUGGGAUAAAUUAAAGUAACAAAAAUCGAAUCAAGUAACAGAGAAACACAAAUCGGAAACAGAUUGAUCGGAAUCGGCUCGACUGAAUCUGGAAUUUGGGAGUCAGAGAUCGAUCGUGUAACUAACCUUAGAUAAUCGAUUAACCUAGCCGAACUCAGAGAACGCCCUUCCUGGAUCAUCAUCGCCGGUGACCCAAGCAACGCCGCCGCAAAAGCACCGGUUCUCAACUUCCGCAGACAUUUUUCGAAAAUGAGAAUUUGGGGUUUUCUAAAUAUGAGAGAUAGGCCUGCGAAUUUAAACCGAUCGGUUUAUUCGGUUUCGGUUAGUCGGUUUUCCGGUUUAAUCGGAAAAUGAAUUCUGUACCGAACUAACCGACUAACAAUUUCGGUUUGGUUCGGUUAUUUCACGGUUAUUUCGGUUUUUGCUUUUCGGUUUUUUCGGUUCAUAAUUGUUGGACUAAAAGCUAUUUUCUAUUUGGGCUUCCACAAAAUUGGUUUCUUGACCCAAAAAGAAAAAAAAAAAAAAAUUUGGGGUGGGAGAGAAAAAAGUGACGUAGUGAUGAAUCGAGGAGUGGAGUCGUUGAUCGGAGACACCGGCGGCGAGAUCUCAUGGGCGAAGAUUCCGGUAUAGAAGAAGAAAAAGAUGAUGUUGGUGUAAUCGAAGAAGAAAAUGAUGAAUCGAAGAAGAAGAUGAGGAAUCAAAGAAGAAUAAUGAGAUUAAUCAAGAGAAGAUGAUGAUGAAACGAAGACGAAGAAGAAGAUGAUGAGAUUAAUCGAAGAAGAAGAAGAUGAUGAAUAGCAGAAGAAGAGAGGGGAUCUAAGAGAAAGAUGAAGAAAAAGAAGAAUUGAAGAAGGGUUGUAGGCGGCUAGGAGUAUAUUAGGUUAGGGUUUUUAGGUUUUCGGUUAACCGUUCGGUUCGGGCGAACCGAACCGAAAAUCUCGGUUAACCGAACCAAAUUUAAAACCAUUCCGAUCGGUUAAACCUAAUUAACAGAAACCGAACCGAUUUGCCCAAACCUCGGUUCGGUUUGGUUCGGACAAAUCGGUUCGGUUCGAAUUCCCAGGCCUAAUGAGAGAUAUUAGCGAGAGAUUUGUAGUAGACGCAUUUCUUCUUUUAACGGCCUUUUAAUUUCAUUUGCUCUACGACUCCAAUUUUAAGUCGGUUAUAUAAGAAAAAUUCAAAUUUCAAAAGUUGAAAAGACCGCCCAUUUAGAAAAUGAAAACUCAAAUUCCAUUUUUGUUAACGUUACGUCGCAAUUGUGAUGUGCACAAAGUUUGGUUUAGUAAAGGCCUUCUCAUUAAUCCAGGAUUUUAAAAAAUUUGGUUAAGCAAAGACCAGAAAUCUUUUUGGUUAAAAGCUUAACCACGAUGUAACCACCGUGAUCAAUUUUAGAUUGGUUUGGUUUAAAAUGUGACCUUAGUCUAGUCUAGUUAUAAAACAGCGUGUCGUUCAAUCUCUUACUGCAAUAACAAAAACGACAAACAUUCCACGACUGCAUAUACGAAUCCAUAAGCAAUUUACAUAGAAACAUAUUUCAGAACUUUUUUCAUACAGUAGGACAAACAAAUAUUUGAAAAAUGAGAUUCUUUUAUAUAUAGAACAUUGAUUGAGCAUGAGGUAGUAUUUGGGUAUGCAACAUAAUCAGAAGAAAGGAACACCACAGAUUCUUGCUCAGCUCUCGAUGUUUCACGCAGUUUAUUGAAGCAGCCGAGCUAGAAACAACUUGGAGAAUGGAAUAGGAAUGUGGAUUACAUGACACGGACGAUUAGAGCCCAAACAGGGUAGACCAAAAGAAGGAUGAUCCCUAAAGUGUUUGACACUCCACGGGGCUGUGUGAAUGAAUUCCUGAACCCACCCGAUGCUCGGAUAUGUUCUUGAAGAAGGUAACAGCCAAUGAAAAGGCUGAUUACAGUGCCAAUCCAGGUUCCACGUAUAUGGUGAGCUAGGAAGUGUGGAGCAACUACCAGUAGAAGGAUUAGAGAACCCGGCAUCUCAAGCCAAUCUGCCCAUGUUGACAACCACAACAAUAAAAGUGUGAGACUUGAAAUUUAUUUCAGCAAUUACAGUGACUUGAAUUUAAGUAUGCCUCAAAGCGUACAUUUUACGAUACUCGAGACAUCUUCAGCGAUUGUAUGACAACAAUACAAAGAUACAAAUCAAGAAGGCCCACAACAAGAAAGAUAUGAAGAUGUCAUCACCUGGGAAAUGCUUAGGGAAGAAAAGUCUGAGUACAACUGCAACGAAAGCAAUCCAUUUCCCAACUUCUCCACUGAUAACAAAAAGGGAAAAUUUCACUUUAACCAGUUUUAAGAAUGCAUUGUGAAAUAGGAAGAUUUCUAUUGAUAACAAAAGAAAGAUUGUUGUUACCUGAGAAAGUUAAAAAUGACACUAGGAAGGCUAAGGAAGAUGUAUGGUAUUAAGAGUGAUGUAAGCAUCUUGGUUUUCCAAUUGGUACGAUCCAAUAUUAACAAGUAGCUGCAUCAAAAUACCAAAACAAAAACGUUAAGGAAACCAUGAAUGACCAGAACAGUUCUAUAAAUUGCAGCAGAAGUAACGCCCUUUUUCAUGUUUGUGGAUUGUGGUCACUGACCAAUUACAUAAGUUUAAAAAUUCAACCAAUCAGAGAUACUAGAUACAGUAGGAUUAUUGCAAAUGUCCACAAGUUAACAGAAAUAAACAGAAAUUAAGCCUAAAUUAAUCACUUUUAAAUUCUGCUAACAGUAGGAUUGAAUUUUCUUGGAUUACUGUGUCAAUAACAACAGAGUAAAAAUCAGUUGAUAAUGAUCAAUCAGAGAUUCACCUGCAUAAUCACUAAUAUCCGAUCUCGAAUUUUUUCGCAGUUUCAAUUGACCCCAAAAUCAGCUUCUACGAAUUCGACAUGUACGAAUCACAAAAAUUACCAAUUCGUCGAAUUAUAGAAGAACCCACAAGAAAAUCAAAACAAAUUGACGAGAAGCAAAAUUAGAGAUGGAGUUUUGAAAAACUCACAUGGCAGCGAAAGAAGCGAUGAAUUUGAGAAAAGAAACACCGAAGCCUAAUCCACCAAGCUUCGAAACAUCGCUAAAGAGUUUCUUUGCAGCGACCUUGAGCUCUUCCAUGUCGGAAUUGACUAACGCCGCCACCGUAUCGACGUCGUCGGUCUUCAUCGCUAGAUAAUCCACACGUCCCAUAAUUUCUUCUUUCCUCAGAGACUCGAAGCAAUUCGAUCUUCGUUCGAAGAUUUUGUUUUUCUUAUAAUUCUCUUCCAGCUGUAUCCAGAAUCUAGAUCGUCUUCUCACACUUCUGCUUUUCUUCCAAAUUGAGUUUUUUUUUUUUCCUCUUCAAUCGUUCCUGGUUUAUCGCCACAAACCGAUUGUGAUUAGUGACGUGUCGUUAUCUGAUUGAAUGUUGGAGUAUGGUCGAGAACAUUAAACCGCCACGUGGCAAAACAAUUAUUCGGUUGCGCGUUAUUUAAGCUGCGUGGAAUCAUCUUAAAAUUGUUUUGUUCUCUUAGACAACCUCAAUUAUUUCAGAUAAUCGGAAAAAAAUCAAAUAAAUAAUUUAACUAAAAAACAAAAAUCGGUGUUUAUAUUACAAGAUUAUUAUAAAAAUGUUUGAUUUUGUCCUACUACAAAUAAUGAUGUUGUUAAUUUCCAUCGGAAGAAUAUAAUUAAACUAUGUAAUACUAACAAUGAACAAUGUAGUUUUGUUUUACCAGAAAUUAAAACACACUACUCUACUUGCGCCACUUGAAAACAUCUUACAAAUUUACAUUCAUAAUUUGCAAGUCAUUAUACUUUAUGAAUAGCUAACCCAUACAUGGUGUAAACAGUAUAAAGUAUUGUGAACAAGUCAUGCGUUUACAGUUUCAUUCGAUCUAAAGAAUUAAUCAUUUCUUAAGAUAUAUAUAGAAGAAAGAAAAAAAUCAAGAAGCACAAGAUGAUUUUGAUUUGUGUACUAGCUAAGAAAACGUCGUGAUCUUCCAUCGACCAUCGUUGCCUCGUGCGAAUCACAAACCUGAGUCGUAAAUUUACAUCCGAACUUCUUACCGAUUGACCACUUACUCGAUCUGCCAAUCGUUCCCCUUCAAACUUUCUUUGUCGAUCUUAACGAUCACUUUCUUCAAGUACAAGCAUUCUUUCUCUAGCUGGUUCACUCGUGUCCUCAUCGAAUCCAGAUCCAAACGAAGCACCUGAUUCUCCUUCACCGUAUCCUUCCAUCUCCCCAAGUCCACCACGGUUUCAUCACCGUCUUCCUCCGUCAGUAACGUCCCGGUGAUUACUUGCCGGAGCUGUAAUUGCUCCAAAAACAGAACUUGUACGACGGCUCGUAGUGGUAAACGCUCGUUUUGUGCCGCGUGUAUGCAUCCUUCAACAGUUAGUUUUCGGCAAUCCAUUACACUACAUAUCUUCUCCUUGUCUGCCUCCGAUAUCCAUGUAUGCGUCUAUAAAACACAAAAAAUCAGAAUUCAAACAUCAGGUGCUGUGGUGUAGUGGUUAUCACGUUUGCCUUACACGCAAAAGGUCUCCAGUUCGAUCCUGGGCAGCACCAAAUUAUAUAACUUUUAAAAAUUUUAUAAGAGCAUCUCCAAU
rnacentral:lncRNA from 1 species